AUGGUGAUGAUCAGAUUCACACCGCAAGCGGUGGAGGCCGACAAAAACCUUGCCUCUGUGUCUCGUCUAACUACCGACAAUAAUGUUUUCUUUGAAACUCACCCUACCUAUUUUCUUAUAAAGGAUCGGGCAACGAGGGAGCUCAUUCAUCACGGUAGAUGCAUUGGAGGACUCUACCCCAUCACAUCCAGAGCACUUAGUAAAAGGCGUCGUCGUCAAGUCUACUCCAUCGUCAAGCCCUCCUUGGCAAGAUGGCAUCAAAGAUUAGGUCAUCCAUCGUCGGUCAUAGUCAAGCAAGUAGUGAAUAAAGACAAUCUUCCAUUGUCCUCUAGUCAAAACAAUGAGUCUGUUUGUGAUGCUUGUCAGUGUGCAAAAAGUCACCAACUUCCUUAUCCCAAAUCAAAUAGUGUCUUAUGCUCCUUUGGAACUUAUUUUCAGUGA
rnacentral:rRNA from 1 species